rnacentral:lncRNA from 1 species
GAGGAGGAGGAAGAGGCUGCGACGUGGCUCGAUACCUAGUUUAUUAGAUUUUUAAGAUUCUUUUGUGUAGCGCUAUCUGUUGAUCCACAAGUGGAGAGCUUUUGUGUGAAAGCGGCUGCAUGAGCAGGAUGCAUAUGGACAGAUGUUUAUGAUAUCAUGUAUUCAUGGUAAGUGGUAGUCGGUUUUGGAAUAUGUAUGUAAAGUAAGUAAAAUGACAUGUGAUGACGUGCGUUUGCUUUAGCACGAGCCCCCACGUCAUCGACCUACUAAUGAUGUAAGCCCUCGAAUAAGCCAUGCCUGUCCUGGACUUACCUAAAUGUCGAAGCUCGGAUACUAAUUAUUAUUAUUAUUAUAUAAGAAAGGGAUUAAAGAAGAUGACGAUGAGGAAAGAAAUUCACAAAAAUUGUUAAUAGACAGAGUUCAGUCUGCUCUUUUGCAGUCUCAAGCUCUCUCUCGUUUUUAUACUUUCUCAGAUCUUCUAUGAAAAUAAUCUUUGUGCGUAAUUAACGUAAAUAAACUGGAAAAUACAAGAAUUAUUAGAGGGCGAGAAAUUAAUCAGCUGAUAUACCUUUAAUUCCUAUAUAACCCGGACAUCUAUGUAUGGUCUACUAGAUCUUUUAAUAUGACAUUAUUACACCAUUAGUAUUUAUACUCAUCUUCUUUUUUCACUGUCAAUUAUUUCAAUUACUAAAAUUUCUUAUAGCAAAAGAGUUAAACCUUGCUCACAUGGGGUGCGGUUAAGGAGAGUGGUUUGAUUUCUUUAUUAUAUAUGAUAAUCUAAUUUUGAUUACGGAAACUAUAAAUUUUACCUAAUGAAACAUGAAAAUUAAUGAAAUAGUCCAAAAACCCAGUUAUGCUUAAUGAGUCUCCUAUGUUGUUACGCACUCUACUUUAGUCAUUUUAAUUCUAGUUUUAUACAAUAAUGUUAGAUGUAGACCUUGUAGUUACAGUAAAUUCCAAUUGCCAAACAUAUAUUUCUCUGUCUACCUAUGAAGUUCUUCUGAUGGUUUUGGUACCUUUAAAGUUAAUUGAGAAUGAAUGAAAUAUUGUUGCCAAUAUAGCGCUAUAUUCACCCACAUGUAAGGCGAAUAUUGAAGGAAUUUUUUAAGGCAUACGAAAUUCAAACUACAAAAGCAUUGUUAAUUUUUUGAUUGCUCUUUCCACCAAACCAAAAACCUAAGAGAAUUAACUGCUUCUAGCCAGGAGAUUUUGAGAUUAACUGAAAAGCAUUUGAAUUCUGAAAGAGAGAAUUAAGAAAGAUAUAUAAUAAUAUGAAAAGUAACAUUAUAUAUUUUGAAAAAUUGAAGUACAUACGGAUUCAUCUUAUUUCUCCUUUUCACCAUAAUUGUUGCAUAUUACUAAAAAAGAAAAAAAUUGAAAGAAUCAAAAGGAUUCGAACUUCAUUUGAAAUCUUUUUUUCUUUUUAAAUGAACCUUGGCUAUCGAGAUAACUUUAUUGAAAGUAAAGAAUAAUACACUCAUAUCAUAGAGACAUAGUGGGCCUUAGAUAACUGCAAUAACAAAAGAAAAAUAAAAAAUAUAGACAGCAAAAUAACAAAAGAAAAAGUAGAAAAAAAAAACAAACUUCAGAAAAAUGAUAACUAGAAGUCCAUUGGUAUCAUUAGAAAGAAAUCUAAAAAUUUUUAGUGACAAAUUAUCCCAUCAAAUGAAAGCAGCGCACUCUAAUUCUAGAUUUUACCAAACAAUAAUUAGUGGCUGAUUUUAGCUUUAUUUGAAAUGUGCACACAGAAUCCGUAACAAACUAAAAUGAAUUUGCUGAGAUUGGGUCGUACAAUUUAAGUCUCUUUAUUUUCUUCACUCAAAAUAUUUUAGAGAAGGGAUCAAGAAGAAGGCAUAUUAGUUGAUUCGUGGCCAUCUUUUUUUUUUUUUCACUUGUCCCAAAAGUUGUCGCGCACGACAUGACCUAAAGUUCUUCUUCCGUUCGGAAACGUGUGCCAGUAAUGUGUAAACUCAACUACAGUUCUCUCAAAGCACAACUUAUUAGCCGUGGAUGGUUUUAUUCCUUGCAAAAAACAGCAGCUUCCGGGAACAAUAACUUUAUCACAAAGUAAAAUUGUUUCUGUCUAUCUGUAUCCAAUUUGGUUUUGUUUAGAAAAUAUUAAUGUAUAUGUUAAAAGUCUCUAAAAUUUAAUACAUAACCAAUGUUAUUUAUGUUGCUGAGAUUAUAAUAAUUAUGCGCCAGUGAAGAAAGCGAUUGUCUGUCGUACGUUACAGCUAUCAAUACACACGUUUUACUGCUGAAUUUACAGUUCAGAUAUCUUAUAUUUUGUUCUUUAAUUUUUUUCCUUUAAUCUGCAUAUCUCCUCAACCAAGUUAUUUUUUUCCCUUCAUUUUCCAUAUAUUCAAUCAACAAGUUUCUCAUGUUGCUCCGAAAAUAGGAAGUCCCAACCCCCCAAGGAAACAAAUACAGUGAACCCAUCAAAAUCAUAUGCAUAGUUGUUGUACGGACUUAACAUGUUCAAGUAAAGAAUGCCAUCGGCUUUGGCUUAGUAUGUUGAAACGAUAAAAAGAAAAAUUUUGUUCUUCUUUUUGAUUGAUUCACAAGGAAGACUGGGUGCAAUAUCUGGAAAUUGGGCUUAUACUGAAUAUGCUUUUUAACCCUUUUUUCCCCCUAAUCUUCAUAUACAAAAGUUACAUUCAAGUUUAAUUAAUUGGAAACAUGCUCUUGGGUUGCUCCAUCAAGCUUGAGAACGUGCUAAUGCGACAUCGUCCCACCAGAUUCUGAUUCAACUUCCUUGCACGAUAGGAAUUUGGAGCUGCAAGCUUCGACAGAAAUUCAUAUUACAGCUCACCCAGAAACUAUCAUCUGUUAGUAUAUGCACAAAUAUUUAGCGCAGAAAUUCCCUCACCUUUAUAUCUAAGCAAAUAUGCUUCUUUUGACCUGAAUAUGAAUAAUAAAAAACCCCAGAUUUUUCCAAUAAAAACAUCAACAGCAAUUUGUAAGUUUUUUUUUUUAAAAAAGGAAAAUAUAGUGUGCGUGUGCUCACCUGAUGUGUUCUGGUGAUGUUGUGAUAUGUUGUUGUUGGUAGCUAGUCAUUAAUCGCCGUUGCAGCAUCAUCAAGAUUCUCACUGACAAAAACCAAGGCAAGCAAAAAUGAAGAAAAAUUGCUGCUUUUGCCUUUAGACUGCAUGUGAAUCUUGAGGACGCUGCUACAGCGAGCAACGACUGUUUUAAGGUGACGUGGCAUGUAGCAAAGGGUUUUAAGGUUAGAGUUGCAUGAGCAUGAAAGAUAUUUCAUUUAAAACGGAAAGGGUUUUAAAGAUCUGCGGAGAAAGGAUGGGAACCGCUCAUAAAUAUUUCUAAUAAUUUUAUAUAUUUGCUUUUGAAAGGGUAGGAAGUAAUUGAAAUGGUCAAGAUCUGACCACUCACCAGUGUUAUCUUCAAAGUACCGAACUAUGAAGAUAUCAAAGAGAGUGAGAGAGAGAGAGAGAUCAUUUGUAUUCUGUAAGGAAGGACUGAAGAACGGAGAGAUGAGAAAAUUGUGUGAGGAAGAGGGUCACUCGAGGUCCAUUAUAUACAGGCUGAGGACUGGAAGGGCUUCUUGUGUGACCGCUUGGUGGACGAAAGUUUUGCACCAUCUUUGAUUUCGAGGUGACACGUUAGCUGACUCCGGAUGGCAUUACCUUCACGCAAACUACAUUAUCCAAUACCUUUAUGAGAUACACAUAAUCUGAAAACUAUUAUAUGCAUAUGAAUAUGUUAAAUAAAUUCAAAGAUAUUACCAGCAAGUGCGUAGAUCAAUUGGUAAUAAAUUGUUCUAACUUAAUUAAGGUCUUCAGUUCAAGAUUUGAAAAUACAGCCGCGUUAAAUAUUCGCUGCCCUAGUAAAUAAAUUCAAAGAUAUUGUUUGUAUUUGAUUAUUUAUCUUUAUUAUGUCUCUAAAUUUUUUUAAAUGACGCCACCUAAAACUUUUUAUAAGAAGAUGAUCAUUUAUAAAAUAUGUGAUAUAAUUCUAUUAAACGGUUUCAUUGAGACCAUACUACUUACAAUUUUCUCGUAUUCAACCUUUACUAGAAUUAUGAAUGGUAAUAGCUAUUGGAGAGUAGGUGAUGUACCAAAGAUAUCCAAUUUUUUUUUUAAUAUUUUCAUAUGAAAUCUUAAUAUUUAUUUAGUUUCUCAAAACUUAGAUAGUUUUCAUGAAAAAUCAUCGUGGACCAAACCUACAAGUUUUCGUUAAACAUAAAACAUUAUUUCACCACUUUAAUUAUCAAUUUAACACGACCUUUCAGAAUUCAAGAAAAUAGUAAAAAUAGUUAUUGGAGAGCUCAAUGAUGAAAAGUGAAAAUGGCUACGGUUAUGUCCGAUCAAAGAGAUUGGUCAGAUGUAGAUUUUUUUUUUUUUUUCAAAUUGUAGAUUCGGUUUUUUAAGUACAUACGCUAUCUUUCGAAUUCUUAGUGGAUUCAGAAUUUUUUAAAGUAAUUACAAGUUUACUACUCAAUCCCACGUGGAAAGAAAAUAGACCAAUCCACUCAAGUGAUUAUUUUUACAACAAUGCUGCUUUGUUUUUUUUUUUUUAAAAGGGUUAUCAAAUUUGGGUCCAGUUAUGGUGCAAUUGUGGUACCAUACCACAACUACACCUAACUAUUGGAUCCAGUUGCACACAUGUACUAUAAUUGGAUCCAAUAUUUAGGUGCAGCUGUGGUAGUUGCACCAUAAUUUUGUCCAUCAAAUUUUGAUAAAAGCAUAAAAAAGAAAUCAAAAUAUCAGAGUAGUUAUAAACAAUUUGCUUUUUUGUCAACAUACUUUAGUCUUUUUCUAUUUCCUAUAAAAAACUUGUAACCCAAUUUUUUGUCAAGAUAGUACUCUUCUUACUCUUAACAGCGACAUUUAAGCAAAAGAGCUAUGAAAAACUCCGUGGAGUUGUAUAGGCAAAGACUGCUCUAAUAUAUGAACUGUUAUCCCUUUUGUAAGGCGUUUAUGCAGGAAGAGUGAGUUGAACUAAUUAGGGAGUUUUGCUGAUGAUUAAGUAAAGAUUAAGACUGUGCAUAACAAUUAGUUCAGUUUUAACUUCGUGGAGAGGUUCGAAUUAAACCAGUUUACAUGUGCGUGAAGAAUGGGUAAAAGUGUGAAACUAUUUACGUCAAAGAAAUGAUUUUAAAAAUAAUAAUAAUAGUGAAGGCGUUAAUUGAACGAUUGCCUAAUUGCAUGUAGUAAAUUUACUGUUUAGUCCCGUUACAGCCACUGUUUUACAUUAUGGCCCUCUCAGUUUUUUUAUGGUUUAUUAUUACGUCCCCCGCAAACCCAAAAUCGUGGUUCCCUGCUGCAAGGAGAUUAGUUCCUUGUCAUUUCUAUGUUAAUAUGUAUAUACGGACUUGACUAGCUUACAGAAUCUGUAAGCUACAGACUGCAGCAUCAGCCGUUGGAUGUGGUUGGAUGUGGAGUGAGAAACUAAACAAUAGAAAAUCGGAUGGUGGGAUGACGGGAGAUGUUUGUUACAGAAUCUGUACCAUAGACAGGUCCUGUAUAUACAUAUACAUAUAGAACUAGCUAGCUAGUAUAUGAAAACUUGUGCGUCAGCUCCCGAAAAAUUAAGCCAAGAGUAAGAAAUUUACUUAAUUUGACGAGCAUCAGUCAAAAUUCUAACGACAAAAAUAACGUGUGUAUAUAUUAGUGAGCAUAUAAGUAUAUAUAUAGGCUGUAUCAUAAUAAAAUUAAAUUGGAUUAUUCUCUGUAAAUUUGUACUGUAUUCUAUAUAUUUUUCAUGAUUUGUGCAAACAAAAGGAAUAUCAAAGUAGCUUGUUUUAUCAUCAACAGUGGCGAAGGAGAUUAGGUCCACAUAUUCUCAUGCCAUAUGUUUUAUUUCAAUUUGAAAAUCGAGCGGAUACGAGAGUAUCUUAUUUCUAGUAGAAAUAGAUUGGAGAGAGACAUAGAAAUUGGUACAAUUAUUGGUAUGAUGAUACAGUCAGAGGAUAAUAUUUAUAAUAAGCAAUAAUUUUAACCUAGACUUUUGUAAAAGAUGCCGAACGACGUCCCGCUGGCAGGCUUUGAAUUGUUUCUUCGGACCACACAGUGUGUUUAUUAUCUAUUGUUUAAUGGAGGUCAAAUUUUGCCUGACACCACCCUUAAUUUCUUAGUUUCACACGAAUCAUCGAGUAAAACUUGAAGAUUUCACUCUGCUUGGUGUAUUCUUUUUUCAAGGAAUCAAUGAUUCAUUGCAGAAAGCGCUUGGAUGUGGAUGCUGCUCAUCAAGAUUCAAGACUGUGUAAACAGCGUAACUAUGACUCCAUUUAUCCCUUUGGCAAUUGGUAUUUUAAUCAUUGUGAUUUUUAAAUCCACCCUUGCUGUAAAAUAUAGUUAUCUACUGUCCACACAAAAUAAUAAAAAUUAAUUAGAUGUCAACUAAGAUAGAAUUUCAUUGUCAAUUUGAUAGCUACAUCUAAUUUUUACAGGUCUUUGAUAAAUUGUUGCUAUUAUUUUGAAUUUGUAAUCUCUUACUUCCAUUAUAAGCGUUUUUUUUUUUUGAACUGAUUAAGCAUGAGGUUACUGUAUUACACAGAGAUAUUUACAAAUGACAACAUAUCAUUGCAUUGAUAAUAUUUACAAUCAGAUAUAUAUCUGGGACUUACAUUAUUACAUUUUUAUUCUUUGAAGUAUACGCCCAGCCAAAUACCCCUCUCGGUGAGGGAUGUCUCUAUUCCACUCGCAUUUCGCAAGAGAAAAAGACGUUAUAAGUAAUCUCCACACAAUUAUAAUUAAUUGAGGGAGUUUGAGUCUGUAGGGACUCGAACCAUUGCCCUCAUAGUCAUGCUUGACUUUAAGGACAAUGAUUCACCACUGGGCUACAAGCCCAAGUGGCUCCAUUAUAAGAGUUAAGCUACCUAAUCGAUGGUUUACAUAUAAUUUUUUAUGAAAUUUAUGAUCACAAGAAAAAAAAAGAUAAAAAAAUUGGUAUUUCUUGAGAAUGAGCAAGCCAUUCAUCAACAUCCAGCUUCCACCAUCACUACCACCACUAACCUUUAUCGGCAUCAUUUUCGUAUGUAAAUUUUUAUCAGGAGAUUUUAUUUUGUUAUCAUCGCUAAUUAUUAUAAUUCUAACUUUUUUUUAUCAUCAUACGUAUGUCAUCAAAGACCUUUAUCUGGAAAAUGGUUGCUGAUUUGCUAUACAUCACCAACGCUGUGUAUUAAACUUGUUAAAAGAUAAGUUGUGAUAAUAUAUGACAAGUGCGAAUUGAAGUCAUAUUGUACGAUGCCAUUCAACCUGCCCUAUAUCUUCUUUUGCUGUUAAAGCUUUAUUGGAAUAAUCAUUCAGGUGAAUGAAAAUGAUUGUUUUGUUGAAGAUUUUUUGAGUUACAGUCACACUACAACUAUUUCACGCAUGAAUAGGAGCAAACCUGGGGCUUUGAUUACAUCAUUAGCCUCUAUGAUUGGAAAACAGUGCCCCACAUGCGGUUAUUGACACAAUACUUAAUUAAAUCUCAGUCGCACAUUUAAAGAAACCAAACUCAAAAGCUUAAAUUGACAGAUAAAGGCCAACAAAUAUAAUUGCGGACUAUCAGUCUUAAAACUCUUAACAAUUCAUCACGAUAUGUGCAGAUUUCCACCAAUAGAUUUAAGCUCAUUAUGUGAUGUAAUGAUAGUUAACAACAUCUCGCUAAUUAAGCAAACCAAAGAUGAAAAUGGUUCUAAGAGAAACUUUUAAUGCAAAAAUGUCUAUACAAUAAUAUGCACCAUUUGAUGUAUCAAUGCGUACGUCUGUAAUUUUAUUGUUUUUUAAGGUUCUUGAAUGUGGAUAUCGUAUUGCACCUUUUUUUUUUUUUUUUAAUGUGUACUCUUAAAACGCACAUUAAUUAUUAUUUGUAUAGCUACAUCGUGCGGAGAGUAGGAGGAUAAUAUUUUACUUAAGCUUAAUUUGAUAGCUCCUCUAAUCUAAAUUAAUGAUUAAAAAGAAAAAUCUUUAAAAUAAGUAGUCUUAUCCGAAAAAUCGUGAGUGUGUGUGUAGACGUGAGAGUGAAAACAUUCACGAGAUGCAAAAAUAAUUGUCCUUCACGUCCAGCUAGCCCUUCUGUUUUAGCCAUUGACCCUAAACUGUAGGUUGUCUUCAUUGCAAGCAACUAAGCAAUGGUGUGAGAGAUAUGUCGCUCCGUCAAUAAUUUCGUCUCUUUCACAACUUAGUGGGUUACCUACAAGCUUAUAGGGCUCAAUAGCUGAGGCCAGGUAUAUAAAUUAUGAGGCUUCCUGAGAUUCUUCGUCCUUUAGCUUUGGUUACGGCGCAGAACUGAGUUAUCUGCUGGACGAGAGAGUGAUCGCCACAAAAAUUAAUCUUUUAUAAUAUUUUUAUAAAAAAAAAAUAAAACAAAAGAAAAAGAAAAGAAAGUAAGAAAGUGGAUUGCAAAUCCAACCAAAGAAAAAGGAACACAUGCAACACGCCUCAAAAUUAGGGCCACAAUCCAAACAAUCUGACGUGCGCCUGCAAGUGCUUGUGUGGGUGCUAGCUGCUAACCCCACUUUCUAUUUUUCUUUUCGAGAAAUGAGAUUAUGCGGAACGCGUUGGAGCAAGCAAGCUGCAAGCAUUCAAAAGCAAAUAAGCAGUAAUACUAAUUCACGUAUUAUACAUGUUGAUGAGAAUGGACCAAAACUGUUCCAACAGUGACAAGCAUGAUCCCCAAUUUUAACCAAGGUUAAAGUAAUAAUUUUUUAUUGCCAUAAAACUAGUUGUUAAAGAUCAGUAUACAACCAUUUGACUGAAAAAAUCGAACACCACCUCUUUCAUGGCUUUCAAAUAUUCGCCCGUAAGAAAACAAUUGGCUUUAUUUUCUUGGGUGUUUUGCUGUGAAAAGAUGAAAGAAGAUUCAAUGGAGAAAGAAGUCGUGAUAUGUACCAUCAAUCACAAUUCACAAACCAUGUGCAAUUUGUCUUGUUCAAUCAGGUUACUGCUGUGGAGAUAAAUAUGAAGUGUCAUCUCCUUCGUGCAUACGCAUUUUAAACCCAACUUUAUUUUCUGUGGGACAUAUAUACUUCCUUCCUUAACUCUCUAACAAAAUAUUCUAUAACUAAGGCAGUAAAAUUCUUAAUUAUAAAUUUAUAAAUCUUGUAAACUCUCCAUAACCCUCCACAGGUGAUGAAUAAUAAUAUAGGUACGUUUAACAAUGGUUUGAUAUCACACAUCUCCACUAUUCAUUUGUCCAAUUUUGGAGGGUUAUCAAACAAUUGUCAGAAUGAUGAGAAUAAGCCCAAUUGACUUGGACGACUUGGGUUUUGGCCUCUUAGGAAACCCCAUUCAAAGGCCUUUUCUUUAAGGUAAAUAUGGGCCGCCAUGUAAAACCCAAACUUUUGAAUUGGACUCAUUAGAUAGCCCGAGUUAGUUGACUACAAAUAAGAGUGCCCAAAUAGUUUAUUGAAGCACCCCUACCCAUUUAGUGGUAACACCAAUUUAACCUCACUUAAAAUCAUUCUUAUAACCCCAAUUUUUCUCUCUUAAAAGUCAAAGCAGAAGUUUUAUUUUCUUUAAAAAAAAUUCUUAAAAAUUUUCAUCGAAUAUUUUUAUUUAAUUGAUCACAAAAAUUUAAGUUCUGAAUAGGAAGAAGAUAAAAAUUAAUUUUGGCUUUUAUCACUCCUACAUUUAAAAAUAAUGUAUAUAUACUAUUAUACAAAUUUAUUGUUCAUAUUUGCUUAUUCUUGGUUUAAAAAAUAGCAAUAAUAAAAAGGUAUCUUGUUCGGGAUAUUAAAAUUUUUCUAAAAUUAACAAAUAAUGCAAAAAACAUGUUUAUUGUACGAGUUUUUAGUUAAAGAAUAUAUCAUUGCAUUUUACAUGUGAGUUUAAUUAAUAUUUUAUAUAAUUGAAGGGGCAAGCAUGGGCUGGUUUGGUUUAAAACCCAAACCAAAUCAUAAAAGUUUGGGCCCAAUUCAAACCAAUCCAAAUCAAUUAAUUUUGAGUUUAGUUUGAAUUUUAUGAUCAUUUUAUAUUUCGAUAAAUUUUGUUAUGUCAAAAUUACAAUAAUUAAAUUAGUGUUAAAAUAUAAAAAAUAUAGUGGAUAAAAAAUUAUAAAUAUAAAUUUUGCAAUAACUUCAUCCUUAAACCAAAUAAUACUAGAAAAUUAAAAUAAAAUUUAAUCACAAAAGUCAUUAUUUCUCAAUAAAUAAGAGCACAAACUCUAAUAAUAAAAUUCCACAAGAAUGACAUCAACAAGUAAAUUGAAAGAAAAAAAAUAAAAAAUUAGUAGUAUUAAUCGUAUUGCAACACAAAUUCUAACAAUUUUCAUACAAAUUAAAGUAAGAUAAGACAACCCAAUUCAAGUAUCAAAGCAAUUCAUCAUAAUCAUUCUCAUCUGGAGUACUUUAAUCAAGAGCUUUCAUGAUCAACCGAGUUGCUCGAUCACCAACAAACAAAUAACAAAAAAAAAAAUUAUAAUGUUGAAUAAUUAUAAAGGUGAGUAAAUUUGGACAGGAACAUACCAAAAUCAUGAGCAUAACAUCGAUACAAAACAGUCGCCUUCGUGUUACACUUAAAUCAAAUUAUAUAUUAAAUAAAAAUAAAGUAAAAAAAUCUAGUGAUAAAUAAAUAUAUAAAUUUUUUUACUUGUUAUGAUAAACAAUUACCUGACAUCAUGGCUUUAAAAUUUUUUUUCAUAUAAUUAAAACACAAACAAUAUCAAAUUCAAAACAAACAGUCAGAUAAAUUAAAAUUUUCCUUUCUUUUUUUGGCAUUUAAGAGGUUCAGAGUAUGAAACUGCUUCAUCAAUCAGGAAUUUUCUGAAGCAGAACUGGCAAAUAAGCUGUAUAUUUUCCUCCGUGACUAGCCUAGGUUCCGGAGAGUCUAAUGCUGUCGAAAACCAACUAGAGGAGAAUUAAAGCAGAACGGGCAUACAAGCAGGAAUGAAUUCAUUUUCAUUUGUUUUGUUUAAUUUAUUUUCGCUUUUGAGUUUUGGGAAGGUAAACCAUAUCCAAAAGAUAAUGAAGUAGUUUCUUACAUAAAACACAAAUCUAACCCAUUUUUAUUAUUUACCCAACCCAAAACAAAUUUAUUUUGGUGUCGCAGUCUACAGUCUACUUAGAAAGUAAUUUUAAGUCUAAAAUUAGUUGUAAAUAUCUAGUUUUAAGACGAUUUUGCAGGAGUGUAAAUCCCCCCCCCCCCCCCCCCUUUUUUUUUUUUUUUUUUUUUUUUUUUUUUUUUUUUUUUUUUUUUUUUUUUUUUUUUUUUUUUUUUUUUUUUUUUUUUUUUUUUUUUUUUUUUUUUUUUUUUUUUUUUUUUUUUUUUUUUUUUUUUUUUUUUUUUUUUUUUUUUUUUUUUUUUUUUUUUUUUUUUUUUUUUUUUUUUUUUUUUUUUUUUUUUUUUUUUUUUUUUUUUUUUUUUUUUUUUUUUUUUUUUUUUUUUUUUUUUUUUUUUUUUUUUUUUUUUUUUUUUUUUUUUUUUUUUUUUUUUUUUUUUUUUUUUUUUUUUUUUUUUUUUUUUUUUUUUUUUUUUUUUUUUUUUUUUUUUUUUUUUUUUUUUUUUUUUUUUUUUUUUUUUUUUUUUUUUUUUUUUUUUUUUUUUUUUUUUUUUUUUUUUUUUUUUUUUUUUUUUUUUUUUUUUUUUUUUUUUUUUUUUUUUUUUUUUUUUUUUUUUUUUUUUUUUUUUUUUUUUUUUUUUUUUUUUUUUUUUUUUUUUUUUUUUUUUUUUUUUUUUUUUUUUUUUUUUUUUUUUUUUUUUUUUUUUUUUUUUUUUUUUUUUUUUUUUUUUUUUUUUUUUUUUUUUUUUUUUUUUUUUUUUUUUUUUUUUUUUUUUUUUUUUUUUUUUUUUUUUUUUUUUUUUUUUUUUUUUUUUUUUUUUUUUUUUUUUUUUUUUUUUUUUUUUUUUUUUUUUUUUUUUUUUUUUUUUUUUUUUUUUUUUUUUUUUUUUUUUUUUUUUUUUUUUUUUUUUUUUUUUUUUUUUUUUUUUUUUUUUUUUUUUUUUUUUUUUUUUUUUUUUUUUUUUUUUUUUUUUUUUUUUUUUUUUUUUUUUUUUUUUUUUUUUUUUUUUUUUUUUUUUUUUUUUUUUUUUUUUUUUUUUUUUUUUUUUUUUUUUUUUUUUUUUUUUUUUUUUUUUUUUUUUUUUUUUUUUUUUUUUUUUUUUUUUUUUUUUUUUUUUUUUUUUUUUUUUUUUUUUUUUUUUUUUUUUUUUUUUUUUUUUUUUUUUUUUUUUUUUUUUUUUUUUUUUUUUUUUUUUUUUUUUUUUUUUUUUUUUUUUUUUUUUUUUUUUUUUUUUUUUUUUUUUUUUUUUUUUUUUUUUUUUUUUUUUUUUUUUUUUUUUUUUUUUUUUUUUUUUUUUUUUUUUUUUUUUUUUUUUUUUUUUUUUUUUUUUUUUUUUUUUUUUUUUUUUUUUUUUUUUUUUUUUUUUUUUUUUUUUUUUUUUUUUUUUUUUUUUUUUUUUUUUUUUUUUUUUUUUUUUUUUUUUUUUUUUUUUUUUUUUUUUUUUUUUUUUUUUUUUUUUUUUUUUUUUUUUUUUUUUUUUUUUUUUUUUUUUUUUUUUUUUUUUUUUUUUUUUUUUUUUUUUUUUUUUUUUUUUUUUUUUUUUUUUUUUUUUUUUUUUUUUUUUUUUUUUUUUUUUUUUUUUUUUUUUUUUUUUUUUUUUUUUUUUUUUUUUUUUUUUUUUUUUUUUUUUUUUUUUUUUUUUUUUUUUUUUUUUUUUUUUUUUUUUUUUUUUUUUUUUUUUUUUUUUUUUUUUUUUUUUUUUUUUUUUUUUUUUUUUUUUUUUUUUUUUUUUUUUUUUUUUUUUUUUUUUUUUUUUUUUUUUUUUUUUUUUUUUUUUUUUUUUUUUUUUUUUUUUUUUUUUUUUUUUUUUUUUUUUUUUUUUUUUUUUUUUUUUUUUUUUUUUUUUUUUUUUUUUUUUUUUUUUUUUUUUUUUUUUUUUUUUUUUUUUUUUUUUUUUUUUUUUUUUUUUUUUUUUUUUUUUUUUUUUUUUUUUUUUUUUUUUUUUUUUUUUUUUUUUUUUUUUUUUUUUUUUUUUUUUUUUUUUUUUUUUUUUUUUUUUUUUUUUUUUUUUUUUUUUUUUUUUUUUUUUUUUUUUUUUUUUUUUUUUUUUUUUUUUUUUUUUUUUUUUUUUUUUUUUUUUUUUUUUUUUUUUUUUUUUUUUUUUUUUUUUUUUUUUUUUUUUUUUUUUUUUUUUUUUUUUUUUUUUUUUUUUUUUUUUUUUUUUUUUUUUUUUUUUUUUUUUUUUUUUUUUUUUUUUUUUUUUUUUUUUUUUUUUUUUUUUUUUUUUUUUUUUUUUUUUUUUUUUUUUUUUUUUUUUUUUUUUUUUUUUUUUUUUUUUUUUUUUUUUUUUUUUUUUUUUUUUUUUUUUUUUUUUUUUUUUUUUUUUUUUUUUUUUUUUUUUUUUUUUUUUUUUUUUUUUUUUUUUUUUUUUUUUUUUUUUUUUUUUUUUUUUUUUUUUUUUUUUUUUUUUUUUUUUUUUUUUUUUUUUUUUUUUUUUUUUUUUUUUUUUUUUUUUUUUUUUUUUUUUUUUUUUUUUUUUUUUUUUUUUUUUUUUUUUUUUUUUUUUUUUUUUUUUUUUUUUUUUUUUUUUUUUUUUUUUUUUUUUUUUUUUUUUUUUUUUUUUUUUUUUUUUUUUUUUUUUUUUUUUUUUUUUUUUUUUUUUUUUUUUUUUUUUUUUUUUUUUUUUUUUUUUUUUUUUUUUUUUUUUUUUUUUUUUUUUUUUUUUUUUUUUUUUUUUUUUUUUUUUUUUUUUUUUUUUUUUUUUUUUUUUUUUUUUUUUUUUUUUUUUUUUUUUUUUUUUUUUUUUUUUUUUUUUUUUUUUUUUUUUUUUUUUUUUUUUUUUUUUUUUUUUUUUUUUUUUUUUUUUUUUUUUUUUUUUUUUUUUUUUUUUUUUUUUUUUUUUUUUUUUUUUUUUUUUUUUUUUUUUUUUUUUUUUUUUUUUUUUUUUUUUUUUUUUUUUUUUUUUUUUUUUUUUUUUUUUUUUUUUUUUUUUUUUUUUUUUUUUUUUUUUUUUUUUUUUUUUUUUUUUUUUUUUUUUUUUUUUUUUUUUUUUUUUUUUUUUUUUUUUUUUUUUUUUUUUUUUUUUUUUUUUUUUUUUUUUUUUUUUUUUUUUUUUUUUUUUUUUUUUUUUUUUUUUUUUUUUUUUUUUUUUUUUUUUUUUUUUUUUUUUUUUUUUUUUUUUUUUUUUUUUUUUUUUUUUUUUUUUUUUUUUUUUUUUUUUUUUUUUUUUUUUUUUUUUUUUUUUUUUUUUUUUUUUUUUUUUUUUUUUUUUUUUUUUUUUUUUUUUUUUUUUUUUUUUUUUUUUUUUUUUUUUUUUUUUUUUUUUUUUUUUUUUUUUUUUUUUUUUUUUUUUUUUUUUUUUUUUUUUUUUUUUUUUUUUUUUUUUUUUUUUUUUUUUUUUUUUUUUUUUUUUUUUUUUUUUUUUUUUUUUUUUUUUUUUUUUUUUUUUUUUUUUUUUUUUUUUUUUUUUUUUUUUUUUUUUUUUUUUUUUUUUUUUUUUUUUUUUUUUUUUUUUUUUUUUUUUUUUUUUUUUUUUUUUUUUUUUUUUUUUUUUUUUUUUUUUUUUUUUUUUUUUUUUUUUUUUUUUUUUUUUUUUUUUUUUUUUUUUUUUUUUUUUUUUUUUUUUUUUUUUUUUUUUUUUUUUUUUUUUUUUUUUUUUUUUUUUUUUUUUUUUUUUUUUUUUUUUUUUUUUUUUUUUUUUUUUUUUUUUUUUUUUUUUUUUUUUUUUUUUUUUUUUUUUUUUUUUUUUUUUUUUUUUUUUUUUUUUUUUUUUUUUUUUUUUUUUUUUUUUUUUUUUUUUUUUUUUUUUUUUUUUUUUUUUUUUUUUUUUUUUUUUUUUUUUUUUUUUUUUUUUUUUUUUUUUUUUUUUUUUUUUUUUUUUUUUUUUUUUUUUUUUUUUUUUUUUUUUUUUUUUUUUUUUUUUUUUUUUUUUUUUUUUUUUUUUUUUUUUUUUUUUUUUUUUUUUUUUUUUUUUUUUUUUUUUUUUUUUUUUUUUUUUUUUUUUUUUUUUUUUUUUUUUUUUUUUUUUUUUUUUUUUUUUUUUUUUUUUUUUUUUUUUUUUUUUUUUUUUUUUUUUUUUUUUUUUUUUUUUUUUUUUUUUUUUUUUUUUUUUUUUUUUUUUUUUUUUUUUUUUUUUUUUUUUUUUUUUUUUUUUUUUUUUUUUUUUUUUUUUUUUUUUUUUUUUUUUUUUUUUUUUUUUUUUUUUUUUUUUUUUUUUUUUUUUUUUUUUUUUUUUUUUUUUUUUUUUUUUUUUUUUUUUUUUUUUUUUUUUUUUUUUUUUUUUUUUUUUUUUUUUUUUUUUUUUUUUUUUUUUUUUUUUUUUUUUUUUUUUUUUUUUUUUUUUUUUUUUUUUUUUUUUUUUUUUUUUUUUUUUUUUUUUUUUUUUUUUUUUUUUUUUUUUUUUUUUUUUUUUUUUUUUUUUUUUUUUUUUUUUUUUUUUUUUUUUUUUUUUUUUUUUUUUUUUUUUUUUUUUUUUUUUUUUUUUUUUUUUUUUUUUUUUUUUUUUUUUUUUUUUUUUUUUUUUUUUUUUUUUUUUUUUUUUUUUUUUUUUUUUUUUUUUUUUUUUUUUUUUUUUUUUUUUUUUUUUUUUUUUUUUUUUUUUUUUUUUUUUUUUUUUUUUUUUUUUUUUUUUUUUUUUUUUUUUUUUUUUUUUUUUUUUUUUUUUUUUUUUUUUUUUUUUUUUUUUUUUUUUUUUUUUUUUUUUUUUUUUUUUUUUUUUUUUUUUUUUUUUUUUUUUUUUUUUUUUUUUUUUUUUUUUUUUUUUUUUUUUUUUUUUUUUUUUUUUUUUUUUUUUUUUUUUUUUUUUUUUUUUUUUUUUUUUUUUUUUUUUUUUUUUUUUUCCAUGUUUUUUUUUUUUUUUUCAAACAAAUACCUCCAACAGGAUUAACACUAGUAGGUGUUUGGACAACAAGUCCAAAAACAUCAAAUUUGUCUUAAAAAGUCAAUUUCGCAUAGAUUAAUUCUUCCAAGUAAGACCAGUUAUAUCUUAGUCUACAUUUAUUGACGGAUUGUGGUUUAGUGAAUUAGUAGCUACUAUAAAUGCAAAAAUAAAGUUGAUGAUUGCUCUUUGAGAUUUUACAAUUUUUGUAUAUAAGCCAAAUUUGUAGACUUUUCUUCAUUUUGAGCCACAUCAAGAGCUUGGUCGGCAUCUAGGUAUUUUUCAUCUUUAGGAGAUACUGUCACUGUGGAGACACAUGCCUUAUCAAGGACCUUUUGCUCUAAAGUAGCACUUUCACUUAUAAUUUGAUCAUUCACAAUAACAAGAUCCAAACUCUUGUUUUUCUUUUUCAUGGAAUACUAUCUUUUAAAAGUGGUUUACCAUGCUUCAAGCGUGCUGUAGACAAUUCAUCAACUGCUUUUCUAUCAGAAUGUUGAAUAUGAACUAUUACCUGGUCAAGUAUAUUUGUAGCUGGUGCAUAUGACUUGGAUAGUUUGCAUGCAUCUAUAAAUGCAUCUGGGAAUUGAUUUACAAUUUGUUGUAAGUAAAUUAUCUUCCACACUCCAUUUUCACUUUGGGUGGUUUAAAAAUAUAGACGAGACAAGUUUCUUACUUGUCAUGAAAGCUCAUGCCCAUCAUCAUAUGACAGUUUUUUCCUUCGCAACAGAAAAUAUUUUAUCUUAUCAAAAUGAAAAUUUGUAAAACAUGGUAAAUAAAUCACUUUUAAUGGGUUUAAAAUAUCUUAUAAUAGACAGCGAGUCAAAAUCCAUAUAGGUUCUUAAACGUCAUUGAGGUCUCAUUUUAGUACACUAAGGAGGUGCAACAAGCACUUUUACAACAUAACUAAAGGUGCACAAGUAGUGCAUAUUAGGUUGAUACCCUAAAACUAAUUGUAAAACUUACGUAAUAUUGGCGAGAAUAGUAAUCCUAAAGCAUACCAAUACCACAACAUGCAAAAUAGCAUGUCCACUAUGUAGAAGUAGAUAAUUAAGUACGUAAUAACAAAGUUGUUACAAUUAUCUAAAGAUGUUUGAUGGAGGAUUCUGCUAAUCCAUUCUAAGUAUCAACAUGUGGUGCUCAUCAAUCCCAACUGAAAUGCGGUAAUUAUCAAAAACCUUAGAAAUGAAAUUCCCAGCAUUAGCUAGUUGUAUAUCAAUGAUUAGAUAAUCUGAAAAUCGCUCUUGUUACCUAAUAAUUUGUGCAAGUAAUCUAGCAAAAGCAACUUUAUGUAUAGAUAAUAAAAAAAUUUGGGACUAUUGCAUGGAUGCAUUAAUCAAGACUAUAAAAUAAGGAAAUAUAUCAUUAGGUAGGUUAAUAGGUCUAUAAGUAUCUCCCUAAACUUUUAUAACAAUGAUGAAGAUUCAAGAUCAAUCUUAAAAAUAGAUGGUCUAAUUAUUAAUACAUCUUAAGAAUAGCAGUGCAAGUAUUUUUACUAGAUAAAAGAAUCUCUAAAUUCUUUAAAGGUUUUUCAUGAGAAUUCUCAAUAAUUCUAUACAUCAUACUUGAUCUAAGAUGGCUGAGACGAUCUUGCCAAAGCAUAAAAGCUUUUGGAUCAUCAAGUUUCCAGUUUAUGACUAAGUAGCUCUCUACUUCUUUUAUUGUCAUAUAAUAUAAGCCAGAUGAGAUAAUUGGAAGCUUCUCCAAUGUAAGUUUCUGGCCCGAGACAUUAUGAAAAAUAUCUUUAAAGCUCAAAUGAUAUGAACAAGGCUCUCCUCGAGUCCACAAUUAGAUCCGCAGGACCUGAGAUGACAUUCAUAUUAGCUUUAAAUAAUUUUAAACUCAUGAAGUAUUUCUUAAUAUAAAGAAUAAUAUGUGCAUUUCUCUAUCAUAUAAUUGAGCUUCAAAGAUCUAGAUCCUUUCACAAAAGAAAACAUAUAUUAGACAGUAUUAUAAUAUAAUACAAAAAAAAUAUAAGCAUAUAAAAAAUAAUCCAUAAAAGUCAAUAGUUGAUCUUAAUCGAUAUGGCUAUCUCCAUCACCAAGUAAAUCAGUUGUAUUCUCAUCAUAGUGUUCGAAAAAGUCUGAGACAUCCUUAUGUGUGUUAUCAACUGAAAUAGCAUAAUUCAUCUUAAUAUUCUUUUCUAUUAUUUUCUUUCUGCAAAGAUGUUUGAUACAUAUCAACAAGAUGCAUAAAUGCACAGUAAAAUCACCAAUGAUGGCCUGUAGCUCCACACCUAUUAUAAGUGCUUUCUUGAACCUUACUUUAGGAAGAUUUUUCUUCAUCAUUCUUCCAAUUUUGAUUACUUUUAUUGUAAUCAUCACAGGGUUAAUAAUUGUAACCACGAUUACGACUAUAACCACACUCAACCACGACCAUGAUUAUAGUUAUAAUGUUUAUAGCAUCUUUGAUUCUCACUAUGACUGUUGAAACAACAUUUGCUUCAAAAGUGGUGUUUGCUUUCGGAAAUGGCUUUGUAACAGCCAAAUGAGCUUGAUAAUCUUCAUUAGCAAUUCAUUAUUCUUCUCAGCAAUAAAAAGGGCAUGAAAUUAGGUCAAAAUACUUCUUGUACUCACAAGCUCGAUAUUAUUACUGUAGAACCAUGUUUGAUGCAUGAAAUGUUGAGAAGGUCAUCUCUAAUAUAUCUUCAUCAGUAAUAUUUCCUUCACAUAGUUUCAAUUGUGAUGUGAUUCUGUAAAGUAUAGAGUUCUAAUUAUGAACUAACUUGAAAUCUUGCAGUUGAAGUUGAUUUCAUUCGCUUCGAGGAUUUGGAAGUAUAAUUGACUUUUAUUGGUCAUAUCUAUCAUGUAAUGUUCCAAAAGACAUGUGGGUCCUUUACAGUGAGAUAUGAUGGUGAAAAAAGAUUACAGUCUUGAUGCGUUCUUGAGCAAAUUCAUUUUUGCUAGGCUUAAUUUUGUUGCCGAGGCCCAUGGCAUCAGGGUGAAUAUCUAAAUCAAGGAUCUAUGUAAAACAUUUUCCAUCGCAUAUAUCAAAGGCUUCAAAUGCUAUCUUCAUUAGGAGUGGGAAAAAAAACUGAUUAAUCAAAAACCGAACCGAAUCGAACGGUUCGAUUUUUGUGCGGUUUUUUUACAUCUAAAAAACCGAAUGAGUAAUAUAAUAAAAAUAGUAAAACUAGUCGGUUCGGUUUUCGAUUUAAAAAAAAAAAAACGAACCGGAUAUCAAAUAAACCGAAUGUCAAAUAACAAUCCCUAAAAUCUGAAGUCUAAACUAAACAAGGCUGAACUCGUGACCUUCACCCGCAACACCUUCAGCCGUUGGAAUCUCGUCCCCGCUGUUCGUCGCCACUGCUCGUCAGUCGUCACCGCUGCUCGUUGCUGCUGUCACGGUGCUCCCCUGCUACCAUUAUUUGUCUGAAUAUAGUGGGCUCACCGCAAAGAUUCUUUUGUUUUUGUCAACAAAAUCUCUCAGUAGAACAAAAAAUCGAACGAAAAAGGUUCCAUUUUUCGUUUCGGUUUUAUGAAUUUGGUUUAAAGUUCAUUUCUUUUUCCUCGUUCCCAUGUUUUUGUUAAUGUGCUUGAGUUAUGUAAAUAUCGCUGCCGUUUUUGUCUGGUUUGUUAUGUUUUUGCAGAGAAUAAAAAUCAAUAACUUGAGCUGCUGCUGAUUGUUUCGUGUUUUGUUUCGUAAUUUGUUGAGGUUCGUUCACUUGAGACGUUAUAUUUAGUUAUACCCAUGACUACUAAUUUGUAUGCCAAAAUUGAUUUUUGAUUUCUGAUUCAUUCUUUUGUUUUUUCUUUUCCCCCAUUUGGGUGAGAUAUGGUUUGUUUCUUUGAUUGAAAGAUGAUUGAAUGAUUGGUUUUUUCAGUUUUUUCAGUUUCUUUUCCCAAAUCGCAAACUGGAUACUGUUGAGAUUGAUCAUGAUUUUUAUAUCUUAGAGCUGUGUUUGAAAAUGUUCUCUAUAGUGUGCGGUGAAUUGCUGGAUUCACUGAUAUUUUCCAGAGCACGUAAAGCAGUUUCAUAACUAAAUGCUGGUGCUAUGAAUUGCUGGUGUUGUCUUUACUACUGAUGAAAACUAAAGGUCUAAAGCAAGUUCAAACACGUCUCAUUCAUGACUUUUUAAGUUUGUAUAUUCAUAACUAAAUUAAUUAAUCAAAAACGCCAGUAAGUAUUAAUUUUCUGCAACAGGUUCAGACAAAAACAUUUUCCAGCUGGUUCUGCUAACUAACUCUAUAUGGAUCCUUAAUUAAACUAUAACCUAAAUUGAUUUUUUGGUUAAUUUUUAUUUUUUAGAGGCUUCCACCUAUGAUUUGACACAUGUCCCAACAAUCAUGAAAAUGGGGAUAAUAAUAAAAGCAUUAAAAGAUUAAAAACUUUUAACUAAGAAACAAAUCGUUUGUUUAAAUAAAUUUUUAUCUUUUAUGUAUGGGUCUUUAUUUGAACAUGUUAUUUGUUCUUGAACAUAUUUUGAGACAUAUUUUGAUUUUUUAUUUGUUAAUUUUUUAUGUUUGUGGUAGAUUUAUUAAUUUAAGAUUUUAAAUUUAAAAAGCCCAAAAUAAGUCCAAUAGACCCAUAAUCGAAAUAAUCGAAUCAAAUCGAAUCGAAUUAUUUCGAUUAAUCGAAUAUUUGAUUAUUUCGGUAAUUUGAUUAAUCGCGAUUAUGAUUUUAAAAUAAUCAUAAUCAAACGAUUAUGAAAAAUUUAGUAAAAAACCGAACCGAACCGAACCGCGCCCACCCCUAAUCUUCAUUAAGUUUGACAUCUUUAAGGGCUUCAACAUCUGUCAAAUUUAUGGCUUUAGAUGUAAAGGCUUCAAUUUUGAUAUUGUAAGGCUUUCAAUUUGAAUUUCAUACACUUCGGCCUUGAUUUACACUUCAAUCUUGAUUCUUCGGCUUCGCUUGUAAUGUUAGUAAUAAAAUAAAAUAACUAGCCUUAUUUUCUAAUGUGAAAUAUUCAAAUUAAUGGUGACCACAUAGCAUACUUAUAAGCAUAGUUUUAUUAAAUAAACAAGUAAAAUGAAGAGUUAGGGAUAAGAUUCUUCUUAUACCAAAGCAAUAGUCAUGCUGAUAACAUGUUAUAAUUUUUAACAAGAAAUAAUUGUAGUUUAAGUAAAUAAUAUAAAGCAUAAGAGAGCUAGCUAGAUACGUAAAGUUAGGCAGAAAAUUGAAUUGAUUUGGAAUUGUAUAUCAUAUAGACGGCUUUGCACCCUUGUUUAUAAAACAUGCUGUGCAACUAAAUUUAGCGAUAUCUUAAGUAUAUUACUUAGUUGUUUACCUUGGCUUGCAGUUAAUUUGACUUAGCAUAGCUAAGUUACCGAGUCAAGCUUAGUCAAUUAACUACAGCCAUGUGUGUAGCCAAAGAAAUCCUUGCUCACUUGAUUUACAUCCACAUCCGAAUUAAUUGGCUUUAUUUGCAUAUGUGGCUAUAUUGACUUACUUAUUUAGCCAAUUGUAACUAGCGGUGCAUACACUAACGAAAUCUCACGAUGGAGAGCCACGAACUUCCAUAGUAGUUCUACUAUUUUCAAUCAAAACAAUUUUGUCAAUGAUAUUCAUUUGUUUUCAUCAUCCUUAAUUACGCUGUACGUUGAAUCAUACUCAAAUAGUAGCUCAUGAGUUAAGGUUGCCUAAGGUUCUAUUUUUAACUAAUUAUUACAUAAAAAAAUGGAGUGAGUUAUAUUUAUACAUGAGUUAGCUUUCAUUUCAUAUAAAAUUCCGUAAGUAUAACUCAGAUUCAAAACUAGUUCAUGAGUUGAGAUGAAAUUCCCUCAAGUUUAAUUAUAUUAUUAACUCAAGAUUUAUUCUCAUCCAGUAUGAAACAAUCUCCUUACCGGGAUUUCGAACAUAAAAUCUUGAAUCCGAUAUUAAAUCAACGAAACCAUUUGACCCAAGCAUAGAGAUAAAAGGUAAAAAAUUAAAGCUAUUAAAAAAAAAGAAAAAGAAAACUUGUAAUUCAAAUGGGAAAUUAUUUGUAGACAAUAUUUUAUUUACUAAACAUUUUUCGCUUCACAUAUAUUAAUUUGGUUCAUGCACUUUUGACAGAAUCCUUUCAUGAAAAGGAAUUUUGGAUCUUAGUGUGAACCCAAAAUCAUAAACAGCGAAACCCACUAUGAAAAUUUCCCUUUCACAACUUUAUUUCAAUUAAUAAAUCGAAACCAAAAAUUAAUGGUUCAGUAUAAAUCCCUUUCACAAGUUUACUUCAAUUAAUAAUUCGAAACCAAAAAUUAAUGGUUUAAUAUAAAGGUCAAUAAGUUUUCUCAAGUUUGAAACCAAAUUCAUGCAUUGCAAAAAAUAUGGAGCUUGGGCUGUAAAGUGAAAAAGGCGUCAAGAAUUUCAACCAAAGUUUUAAAAAAGGAAAAGAUGCACAUGCCACUUUGAGUAACAAUGAGUAUUCAAGAAUGAAAUGUAAACUUUGGGAUGGCUCACGGGACACCUUCCCAUAAAAAAAAACCUUAAAUUCCCACAUUUGGAAAUAGAAAUUGUAAAGGAGAAGCUCCACAGAAUCUGAAAAAAUUAUAAAAAUAAGUACAAAAGUUCCAAUUUUUUGUUGUCCUUUUCAUGGGAAAUGAAAUGAGCCAAUUACAUUCGGUGCGCAUAUUUUCAUCUUGACACUUGGCUUUUUUUUUUUCCUGGUGGAUCUUGGCAGACAAAAACACAAUGGAAAAUGUUAUUGGUUAUUAUGGCAGUAAGAAUGAGGAAGAAAAAAAUCAUUAAAGGCUGCGGUCAAUUGAGAAGAUUGAAAAGAGAUUUGCAGAAUUUGCAACAAUUGUGAGUGGAAGACAAAUUUGAGAACCCAAUCACACAAUUGGUUGACUUAUGAAAAGGUGAAUUUCAUUUUGAAAUGUUCUCUUAAUGGAGAGGGUGAGAUGAAUCCAGCCAUAUUCUUUGGUAAAGCUUCGCAUCUAUAGUUCUAUGUACUGACAACUUUUUGAUUUAAGUCCUGUUAAAUUGCUUGCUGAGAAGUGCUUUUGCUGGCUGCCCAUUUUGUCGAAAAUAUGGAGUUCUUCGUAAUCAUUAUGUUUUAUGGAUAGUUGCUAACCAUGAGAGUCGGCAAAACUUAACAAAUCCCAUUUCCCGUAUGUUGAUGCUUAGUGGUAAAGAACAUAAGUUGGUUGCAUUUUGAUGUUUUACAUAGAAAUACUGACGAUUUAUUGAGUUAAUAAGAGUGCAUGCAAUUCUUUUUAUAGUUUAAAAACAUGUCCGGUUCUUGAAAAUUUCUACUCACAUAAAUAUUUUUAAGCGUGUAGGUUAAAGAGUUCGUUGAAUCAGAUUUUUAUUUAUUUAUUAUUAUUAUUUUUGGUUGUCAUCCUUAGCCACGUAUAAGAAUUCUUAUACUUAUUAUUUUAUAUAGUAUAAGAAUUUAGAAAAAAAAAAAAGUGUAUACACAAAAAUAUACUCAGAAAUAAAUAAUGCAAUAAAUUGGGGAAAUGGGGUAUGCCAAAUUUAUUCUAAGGUGUCAGAAAUUCCAUCUGAGUUUGGGAACUGAAAUAAAAAAAUUUCUGGCGAGUGUUGGACAAAAAUUGAUGAAGACAGAGCAGGAAAAACAGCUGGAGUGCUUUUGUCAUUUUCUAGACUUGUAAUUAACUUGUAUAUUGUAAUGGGAAUGCUUUGAUGAAAUGGGCCCCUUGCGCACCCCCUUGGGUGGCCCAAACUUGAAAGCACUUUUUGGAUUCUUUUGGAUGAAAUGAUGUAAUUGAAAGAAUUGAGUUGGCUUCUAAGUAGUUGAUGACAUUGACAAAAAGAGAGUGCUAUAUUAUAUAUAUGGACUUGACUAGCUUACAGAAUCUGUAAGCUACAGACUGCAGCAUCAGGCGUUGGAUGUGGUUCAAUGUGGAGUGAGAUACUAAACAAUAGACAAUCGGAUGGUGGGAUGACGGGAGCUUUUUGUUACAGAUUUUGUACCAUAAACACGUCCUUAUUAGCUUAUUUCGUUUACCGAUGUCAUCAUUACGUACUUUAUCCACUGAUGUAACAAUUGUGUCAUUUUGUCUGCAACUUGCCUUCAGCAUCUGUUUUUACUAUGCACAUUAGGACUUGACUAGCUUACAGAAUCUGUAAGCUACAGACUGCAGCAUCAGCCGUUGGAUGUGGUUGGAUGUGGAGUGAGAAACUAAACAAUAGAAAAUCGGAUGGUGGGAUGACGGGAGAUGUUUGUUACAGAAUCUGUACCAUAGACAGGUCCUGUAUAUACAUAUACAUAUAGAACUAGCUAGCUAGUAUAUGAAAACUUGUGCGUCAGCUCCCGAAAAAUUAAGCCAAGAGUAAGAAAUUUACUUAAUUUGACGAGCAUCAGUCAAAAUUCUAACGACAAAAAUAACGUGUGUAUAUAUUAGUGAGCAUAUAAGUAUAUAUAUAGGCUGUAUCAUAAUAAAAUUAAAUUGGAUUAUUCUCUGUAAAUUUGUACUGUAUUCUAUAUAUUUUUCAUGAUUUGUGCAAACAAAAGGAAUAUCAAAGUAGCUUGUUUUAUCAUCAACAGUGGCGAAGGAGAUUAGGUCCACAUAUUCUCAUGCCAUAUGUUUUAUUUCAAUUUGAAAAUCGAGCGGAUACGAGAGUAUCUUAUUUCUAGUAGAAAUAGAUUGGAGAGAGACAUAGAAAUUGGUACAAUUAUUGGUAUGAUGAUACAGUCAGAGGAUAAUAUUUAUAAUAAGCAAUAAUUUUAACCUAGACUUUUGUAAAAGAUGCCGAACGACGUCCCGCUGGCAGGCUUUGAAUUGUUUCUUCGGACCACACAGUGUGUUUAUUAUCUAUUGUUUAAUGGAGGUCAAAUUUUGCCUGACACCACCCUUAAUUUCUUAGUUUCACACGAAUCAUCGAGUAAAACUUGAAGAUUUCACUCUGCUUGGUGUAUUCUUUUUUCAAGGAAUCAAUGAUUCAUUGCAGAAAGCGCUUGGAUGUGGAUGCUGCUCAUCAAGAUUCAAGACUGUGUAAACAGCGUAACUAUGACUCCAUUUAUCCCUUUGGCAAUUGGUAUUUUAAUCAUUGUGAUUUUUAAAUCCACCCUUGCUGUAAAAUAUAGUUAUCUACUGUCCACACAAAAUAAUAAAAAUUAAUUAGAUGUCAACUAAGAUAGAAUUUCAUUGUCAAUUUGAUAGCUACAUCUAAUUUUUACAGGUCUUUGAUAAAUUGUUGCUAUUAUUUUGAAUUUGUAAUCUCUUACUUCCAUUAUAAGCGUUUUUUUUUUUUGAACUGAUUAAGCAUGAGGUUACUGUAUUACACAGAGAUAUUUACAAAUGACAACAUAUCAUUGCAUUGAUAAUAUUUACAAUCAGAUAUAUAUCUGGGACUUACAUUAUUACAUUUUUAUUCUUUGAAGUAUACGCCCAGCCAAAUACCCCUCUCGGUGAGGGAUGUCUCUAUUCCACUCGCAUUUCGCAAGAGAAAAAGACGUUAUAAGUAAUCUCCACACAAUUAUAAUUAAUUGAGGGAGUUUGAGUCUGUAGGGACUCGAACCAUUGCCCUCAUAGUCAUGCUUGACUUUAAGGACAAUGAUUCACCACUGGGCUACAAGCCCAAGUGGCUCCAUUAUAAGAGUUAAGCUACCUAAUCGAUGGUUUACAUAUAAUUUUUUAUGAAAUUUAUGAUCACAAGAAAAAAAAAGAUAAAAAAAUUGGUAUUUCUUGAGAAUGAGCAAGCCAUUCAUCAACAUCCAGCUUCCACCAUCACUACCACCACUAACCUUUAUCGGCAUCAUUUUCGUAUGUAAAUUUUUAUCAGGAGAUUUUAUUUUGUUAUCAUCGCUAAUUAUUAUAAUUCUAACUUUUUUUUAUCAUCAUACGUAUGUCAUCAAAGACCUUUAUCUGGAAAAUGGUUGCUGAUUUGCUAUACAUCACCAACGCUGUGUAUUAAACUUGUUAAAAGAUAAGUUGUGAUAAUAUAUGACAAGUGCGAAUUGAAGUCAUAUUGUACGAUGCCAUUCAACCUGCCCUAUAUCUUCUUUUGCUGUUAAAGCUUUAUUGGAAUAAUCAUUCAGGUGAAUGAAAAUGAUUGUUUUGUUGAAGAUUUUUUGAGUUACAGUCACACUACAACUAUUUCACGCAUGAAUAGGAGCAAACCUGGGGCUUUGAUUACAUCAUUAGCCUCUAUGAUUGGAAAACAGUGCCCCACAUGCGGUUAUUGACACAAUACUUAAUUAAAUCUCAGUCGCACAUUUAAAGAAACCAAACUCAAAAGCUUAAAUUGACAGAUAAAGGCCAACAAAUAUAAUUGCGGACUAUCAGUCUUAAAACUCUUAACAAUUCAUCACGAUAUGUGCAGAUUUCCACCAAUAGAUUUAAGCUCAUUAUGUGAUGUAAUGAUAGUUAACAACAUCUCGCUAAUUAAGCAAACCAAAGAUGAAAAUGGUUCUAAGAGAAACUUUUAAUGCAAAAAUGUCUAUACAAUAAUAUGCACCAUUUGAUGUAUCAAUGCGUACGUCUGUAAUUUUAUUGUUUUUUAAGGUUCUUGAAUGUGGAUAUCGUAUUGCACCUUUUUUUUUUUUUUUUAAUGUGUACUCUUAAAACGCACAUUAAUUAUUAUUUGUAUAGCUACAUCGUGCGGAGAGUAGGAGGAUAAUAUUUUACUUAAGCUUAAUUUGAUAGCUCCUCUAAUCUAAAUUAAUGAUUAAAAAGAAAAAUCUUUAAAAUAAGUAGUCUUAUCCGAAAAAUCGUGAGUGUGUGUGUAGACGUGAGAGUGAAAACAUUCACGAGAUGCAAAAAUAAUUGUCCUUCACGUCCAGCUAGCCCUUCUGUUUUAGCCAUUGACCCUAAACUGUAGGUUGUCUUCAUUGCAAGCAACUAAGCAAUGGUGUGAGAGAUAUGUCGCUCCGUCAAUAAUUUCGUCUCUUUCACAACUUAGUGGGUUACCUACAAGCUUAUAGGGCUCAAUAGCUGAGGCCAGGUAUAUAAAUUAUGAGGCUUCCUGAGAUUCUUCGUCCUUUAGCUUUGGUUACGGCGCAGAACUGAGUUAUCUGCUGGACGAGAGAGUGAUCGCCACAAAAAUUAAUCUUUUAUAAUAUUUUUAUAAAAAAAAAAUAAAACAAAAGAAAAAGAAAAGAAAGUAAGAAAGUGGAUUGCAAAUCCAACCAAAGAAAAAGGAACACAUGCAACACGCCUCAAAAUUAGGGCCACAAUCCAAACAAUCUGACGUGCGCCUGCAAGUGCUUGUGUGGGUGCUAGCUGCUAACCCCACUUUCUAUUUUUCUUUUCGAGAAAUGAGAUUAUGCGGAACGCGUUGGAGCAAGCAAGCUGCAAGCAUUCAAAAGCAAAUAAGCAGUAAUACUAAUUCACGUAUUAUACAUGUUGAUGAGAAUGGACCAAAACUGUUCCAACAGUGACAAGCAUGAUCCCCAAUUUUAACCAAGGUUAAAGUAAUAAUUUUUUAUUGCCAUAAAACUAGUUGUUAAAGAUCAGUAUACAACCAUUUGACUGAAAAAAUCGAACACCACCUCUUUCAUGGCUUUCAAAUAUUCGCCCGUAAGAAAACAAUUGGCUUUAUUUUCUUGGGUGUUUUGCUGUGAAAAGAUGAAAGAAGAUUCAAUGGAGAAAGAAGUCGUGAUAUGUACCAUCAAUCACAAUUCACAAACCAUGUGCAAUUUGUCUUGUUCAAUCAGGUUACUGCUGUGGAGAUAAAUAUGAAGUGUCAUCUCCUUCGUGCAUACGCAUUUUAAACCCAACUUUAUUUUCUGUGGGACAUAUAUACUUCCUUCCUUAACUCUCUAACAAAAUAUUCUAUAACUAAGGCAGUAAAAUUCUUAAUUAUAAAUUUAUAAAUCUUGUAAACUCUCCAUAACCCUCCACAGGUGAUGAAUAAUAAUAUAGGUACGUUUAACAAUGGUUUGAUAUCACACAUCUCCACUAUUCAUUUGUCCAAUUUUGGAGGGUUAUCAAACAAUUGUCAGAAUGAUGAGAAUAAGCCCAAUUGACUUGGACGACUUGGGUUUUGGCCUCUUAGGAAACCCCAUUCAAAGGCCUUUUCUUUAAGGUAAAUAUGGGCCGCCAUGUAAAACCCAAACUUUUGAAUUGGACUCAUUAGAUAGCCCGAGUUAGUUGACUACAAAUAAGAGUGCCCAAAUAGUUUAUUGAAGCACCCCUACCCAUUUAGUGGUAACACCAAUUUAACCUCACUUAAAAUCAUUCUUAUAACCCCAAUUUUUCUCUCUUAAAAGUCAAAGCAGAAGUUUUAUUUUCUUUAAAAAAAAUUCUUAAAAAUUUUCAUCGAAUAUUUUUAUUUAAUUGAUCACAAAAAUUUAAGUUCUGAAUAGGAAGAAGAUAAAAAUUAAUUUUGGCUUUUAUCACUCCUACAUUUAAAAAUAAUGUAUAUAUACUAUUAUACAAAUUUAUUGUUCAUAUUUGCUUAUUCUUGGUUUAAAAAAUAGCAAUAAUAAAAAGGUAUCUUGUUCGGGAUAUUAAAAUUUUUCUAAAAUUAACAAAUAAUGCAAAAAACAUGUUUAUUGUACGAGUUUUUAGUUAAAGAAUAUAUCAUUGCAUUUUACAUGUGAGUUUAAUUAAUAUUUUAUAUAAUUGAAGGGGCAAGCAUGGGCUGGUUUGGUUUAAAACCCAAACCAAAUCAUAAAAGUUUGGGCCCAAUUCAAACCAAUCCAAAUCAAUUAAUUUUGAGUUUAGUUUGAAUUUUAUGAUCAUUUUAUAUUUCGAUAAAUUUUGUUAUGUCAAAAUUACAAUAAUUAAAUUAGUGUUAAAAUAUAAAAAAUAUAGUGGAUAAAAAAUUAUAAAUAUAAAUUUUGCAAUAACUUCAUCCUUAAACCAAAUAAUACUAGAAAAUUAAAAUAAAAUUUAAUCACAAAAGUCAUUAUUUCUCAAUAAAUAAGAGCACAAACUCUAAUAAUAAAAUUCCACAAGAAUGACAUCAACAAGUAAAUUGAAAGAAAAAAAAUAAAAAAUUAGUAGUAUUAAUCGUAUUGCAACACAAAUUCUAACAAUUUUCAUACAAAUUAAAGUAAGAUAAGACAACCCAAUUCAAGUAUCAAAGCAAUUCAUCAUAAUCAUUCUCAUCUGGAGUACUUUAAUCAAGAGCUUUCAUGAUCAACCGAGUUGCUCGAUCACCAACAAACAAAUAACAAAAAAAAAAAUUAUAAUGUUGAAUAAUUAUAAAGGUGAGUAAAUUUGGACAGGAACAUACCAAAAUCAUGAGCAUAACAUCGAUACAAAACAGUCGCCUUCGUGUUACACUUAAAUCAAAUUAUAUAUUAAAUAAAAAUAAAGUAAAAAAAUCUAGUGAUAAAUAAAUAUAUAAAUUUUUUUACUUGUUAUGAUAAACAAUUACCUGACAUCAUGGCUUUAAAAUUUUUUUUCAUAUAAUUAAAACACAAACAAUAUCAAAUUCAAAACAAACAGUCAGAUAAAUUAAAAUUUUCCUUUCUUUUUUUGGCAUUUAAGAGGUUCAGAGUAUGAAACUGCUUCAUCAAUCAGGAAUUUUCUGAAGCAGAACUGGCAAAUAAGCUGUAUAUUUUCCUCCGUGACUAGCCUAGGUUCCGGAGAGUCUAAUGCUGUCGAAAACCAACUAGAGGAGAAUUAAAGCAGAACGGGCAUACAAGCAGGAAUGAAUUCAUUUUCAUUUGUUUUGUUUAAUUUAUUUUCGCUUUUGAGUUUUGGGAAGGUAAACCAUAUCCAAAAGAUAAUGAAGUAGUUUCUUACAUAAAACACAAAUCUAACCCAUUUUUAUUAUUUACCCAACCCAAAACAAAUUUAUUUUGGUGUCGCAGUCUACAGUCUACUUAGAAAGUAAUUUUAAGUCUAAAAUUAGUUGUAAAUAUCUAGUUUUAAGACGAUUUUGCAGGAGUGUAAAUCCCCCCCCCCCCCCCCCCUUUUUUUUUUUUUUUUUUUUUUUUAAACCCCCCCCCCCCCCUUUUUUUUUUCUUUUUUUAAGAUAAUCAUGUUCUUUUCUUAAUACGAAUAAUAUAAAAAAUUCUAACAUCUAUAUUCUAAUCUACAUUCCCGGACAUUCAUCUAUACAACAGUAAUGUUUUUUUUUUUUUUUUUUCUGACUAAAUAGAAUUCCUGACGUUAGGAUAUCAAAGUGGGGUUAACGAAAAAGAAAACAGAACGAACUUCGUGGAAAUUAAUGACAACGACUAGCUACCUCUGCAAUCGCCAAUCAGGUUUAGUGGCACCAAGAUUCAACCCCCAAUUGAGCAUACAAGGCAGAAUAUUGGCUUGUGUUCUUGAUGGAUUUGGAAAUGUGUUCCGGGUCCGGACCCGGUAACAACAGUCACAGAAAGCACUAGAAUGUGUCACGGCCAGGACCAGUUCCAGAACCAUCAGAAGAGAAAAUUGGACCACAUCACAAGCCGAAAAGGUAACCAUUAAACCAAACCAAAAGUCGGGAGAUCAUUACAUUCAUUUAUGCAAAACACGAUCAUACCGGGAGUUGACAUGUACAUGAUACUUCUUAUCAGACAAGGAAGUUGAAACUAGUUUGUACUUUACUAGUAUUAUAUCAUACAUAUUACUACUGAGCAGUAGCUUUCUUGGCUUUCUUAGCAGCAGAGGACUUGAUGGAUUUGGGCUGCUUUGGUUUGGCAGCAGCCGAUUUCUUUGCCUUCUUAGGCGGAGGAGGAGCGGCGGCGGCAGACUCUGCUUUGAUUUUAGCUGCAGCAGUUACGGACCUUGUUUUCCUUGGGGCCUUGGCCUUGGUCUUGAUCUCUUUUUUGGUUUUGCCAGCUGCCGCUUCAGAGAGCUUGUAAGAGGCCCUGAUCUUGAUGAGAUUUCCUUUCGCAGCGAAGUGCUUCAGCUGCACUGCCAAUAUUUUCCUGAAAUUCGCUGGGAGCUCAUCUUUGUGCUUCUCUUCCAUGUACUUGGCUAUUGCGUAUGGGCUUGAACCGCUCUUAUCUUGCAGCGCCAUCAGUGCCUCCGUUAUCAUCUGCACAAUUAAUUACAAUAAUAUCAAAAACUUCCUUCAAUGAACGUGACUUAUAAUUUAAUUUGAUUAAAUUGACAAACCUGAAAAUAAGGAGGAUGAGAGGGGGUUUUGGACUGCUUUGGCUUCUUCUCUUUAGGAGCCUUGGGCUUCUUGUCCUUAGCAGCCUUGGCCUUCUUCUCAGUGACGACCUUUUCCGGCUCCUCCGCAGCCGGCUGCUGCUCCGUCACAGCUUCACCUUCU